rnacentral:rRNA from 1 species
UACGUAGGGGGCAAGCGUUGUCCGGAUUUACUGGGCGUAAAGAGCGUGUAGGCGGCCAAACAGGUCCGUUGUGAAAACUGGAGGCUCAACCUCCAGACGUCGACGGAAACCGUGUGGCUAGAGUCCGGAAGAGGAGAGUGGAAUUCCUGGUGUAGCGGUGAAAUGCGCAGAUAUCAGGAAGAACACCAAUGGCGAAGGCAGCUCUCUGGGACGGUACUGACGCUGAGAC